UCAAUUUUAAUUGUAAAUCCAAAAGGAUCCUUCAUCAAAUGCUAAGUGAAGACUUUAAAAUAACCUGCUGGCCGGACUUGUUCUCUUUAUUGUCUGUGGGCCUCGGCUGGAAGUGGAAAUACUUCUCCUCUGUGGCCACCUGUUUCCGAGGAGCUCAGUGUUUGUGAUGACAAGGAAGCCCAGAGGCUGAAAAUAGAGCUGAUUUCCCAGAAUCUCAGGUACCAUGAUCCAAGGCACAGAUUCAGAUGCUUAUGGACGUACUGUCAGGAGUGUACAGCUGUGAUCAUUUGAAGGAGGAAAAAGGCACUGUCGCUCUCAGCAAGAAUGCCAGUGACCUACAUCUCCACCAGAUUAGGGGCCAGUGCAUGGUCCUCAUCUCAUCUGGCCUCCCAGUGGCACUGAACAUGUUUGAUCACUCUGUGGUAGAUUGAAUUAUUGUCUUAAUGCUUGUCACACCUCCCUGUGUUCACAUGCCUUUCUGUGUGAUAUGACAGCCCGUCCCACUACAGGUUGUUCUUCUUAGCAUCUUCUGUGCUGGCUUUUCCUCCACCAGAUCUCUAAAUUUUGGAGUGGUUGCAGUCUCAGCCUUCUCUGUCUUACCUUUACUCCAAUAAGUGGAAAUAUCCAGGCCACAAAUUUGAAUACUAUCAGCGUGCUGGUUCUCAAAAUUUAAGUCCAAAAGCAAGAUGCCCCUGACCUCUAGACUCAAACGCGUCUACACAUACCCACCUGAGGUCUGAUAGGUCUUGGCAUGUCAAAAAGAACUAUUGCCCCCACCCCCAACACACGCAUCUUAUCCACCUCGGAGUCAUCCUCAACUCCUCUCUUGUCAUGGGUCAGAUCAUCAGUAAGUCCUGUGUACCACACCUCCAAAACUGGUCCAGAAACCAGGACCACAUCUUACCAUCUCCACAGCCCCAGCCCUGCUUUUAUCUCCUCUUGCCAGGAUGUUUGCAACCACAUCUUAACUGUCCUCCUCAGCUCCUACCUCGUCCACGCG